rnacentral:rRNA from 1 species
AAGUAGUAAAAUAUUAUAAUAAAACUAUUGUAGUUUGGCGGCAUUUUUUCAUAUUAGAGGAACCUGCUAAAUAAUCGAUAAUCCACGUUAUUUUUCACUUUUUUUUAAAUUUUAUAUACCUCCGUCUAAAGAAUUUAUUUUAUAAUAUUAUUCCAAAAAGAAUUCUAACAAGUUAGGUAAAGGUGUAGACUAUAUAAAAGCUAUAGUGGGUUACUUUAAAUUAUAUUUAAGGAAAAAAAAUAAAAAUUUUUUUAUAAAAAGGAUUUAUUAGUAAUGCCUUAAUAAUAUUAAGCCCCGAAAAAAAUAGUAAAUGUGU